AUGAUUUUAGGCGUCGAGUUUUGCGAAUGCGUCGCCUUCUUUGCAAUCGCGUCCAACUUGGUGACCUACCUCACCACGGUGCUCCACGAAAGCAAGGUCGCCGCCGCGCGGGAUGUCUCUGCCUGGGUUGGCGCAUGCUUCCUCGCGCCACUUAUUGGGGCCUUCUUGGCUGACACAUAUCUGGGAAGAUACUGGACGAUGGUUGUUUCCCUUCCGGUCUACACCAUUGGGAUGCUCGUGCUCACGGUCUCAGCAUCAGUCCCGACAUCCUACUACCAUGGUGAUGUUCAUCAUGCUGUGGUGGUGUACCUAGGACUUUAUCUUGCCGGGCUUGGGAGCGCUGGCAUCAAACCCUGCGCGUCGGCCUUCGGUGCCGACCAGUUCGACAGCGGGGACCUGACAGAGCUGGAGAAGAAGGGCUCCUUCUUCAACUGGUACUACUUCCUGCUCAAUCUCGGCUCCCUUCUGUCGAGCACACUGCUUGUUUGGCUGCAGGACAAUGGUUGGUGGGGGCUUAGUUUCGCGAUCCCAACGGUGCUCAUGGCCUUGGGCCUAGCAGUGUUUGUUGGUGGCUCCAGAGUGUACAGGUUCAGGAAACUGAGAGCAAGCCCAUUCACGAGCAUCUGUCAGGUGCUCGUUGCGGCCAUCAGGAAGUGGCAUGUGCAACUGCCAGAUGAUAUAUCGUCCUUGUACGAGCCGACCAGUUCGUCAUCAGCACCUGAAUCAAGUCACAAUAUUCAGCAUACGAAUCAAUUCAGGUUUCUAGACAAGGCUGCCGCGGUGCUGCCCCCGUUAGACAAGACAUGCACGGCGUUGCCGAUGUGUUCAUGGAGUUUCUGCACAGUGACCCAAGUUGAGGAGCUGAAGAUACUGCUACGGAUGUUACCCGUCUGGGCGUCGUUCGUGAUCUUCUACUCAGUCGCUGGGCAGAGCGCAUCGACAUUUAUCGAGCAGGGGAUGGUCAUGGACAACCACGUCGGCCAGUUCGCAAUCCCACCUGCCUCCCUCUCUAUUGUCAGCGUGUUCAGCGUCCUUAUUGGGGUUUUCAUCUACGAAUCCGUGCUAGUGCCACUCGUGCGGCGUUAUACCGGCAAGGCGAAGGGCUUCUCGCAGACGCAGCGCCUAGGAAUUGGCUUUGCACUGUCCAUGCUGACCAUGGUGUACUCAGCAAUGCUUGAGAUGAAAAGGCUGGCCAUCGCGCAAGCCAGUGGCCUGGCAGACCAGAAUGUGCCUGUGCCAGUGAGCAUUCUGUGGCAAGUUCCUGCAUAUGUCAGCAAUGCUUGA
rnacentral:rRNA from 1 species